AUGAGAUCAGCUUGUCAAUUUGUGCACUCCUACCUGGGCAGAGUGAGGAGCCUGGAGACUGAGAACUAGAAGCUGGAGAGCAAAAUCCGGGAGCACCUGGAGAAGAAGGGACCCCAGGUCAGAGACUGGAGCCAUUACUUCAAGACCAUCGAGGAUCUGAGGGCUCAGCUCUCUGCAAAUACUGUGGACAAUGCCCGCAUUGUUCUGCAGAUCGACAGUGCCCGUCUUGCUGCUGAUGACUUCAGAGUCAAGUAUGAGACAGAGCUGGCCAUGCGCCAGUCUGUGGAGAACGACAUCCAUGGGCUUUGCAAGGUCAUUGAUGACACCAAUGUCACCUGGCUGCAGCUGGAGACAGAGAUCGAGGCCCUCAAGGAGGAGCUGCUCUUCAUGAAGAAGAACCACGAAGAGGAAGUAAAAGGCCUACAAGCCCAGAUUGCCAGCUCUGAGUUGACCGUGGAGGUAGAGGCCCCAAAUCUCAGGGCCUCGCCAAAAUCAUGGCAGACAUCCGGGCCCAAUAUGACGAGCUGGCUUGGAAGAAACGAGAGGAGCUGGACAAGUACUGGUCUCAGCAGAUUGAGGACAGCACCAGAGAGGUCACCAUGCAGUGA